rnacentral:rRNA from 1 species
ACCAGCCAUGCCGCGUUGAAGGAUUAAGGCCCUCUGGGCUUGUAAACUUCUUUUAUAGGGGAAGAAAUGUUUCGAUUCUUCGGAGCUUGACGGUACCCUGGGAAUAAGCACCGGCUAACUCCGUGCCAGCAGCCGCGGUAAUACGGAGGGUGCAAGCGUUAUCCGGAUUCACUGGGUUUAAAGGGUGCGUAGGUGGACAGAUAAGUCAGUGGUGAAAUCUUCCGGCUUAACCGGGAAACUGCCGUUGAUACUAUUUGUCUUGAAUAUUGCGGAGGUAAGCGGAAUAUGUCAUGUAGCGGUGAAAUGCUUAGAUAUGACAUAGAACACCAAUUGCGAAGGCAGCUUACUACACAAUUAUUGACACUGAUGCACGAAAGCGUGGGUAGCGAACAGGAUUAGAUACCCUGGUAGUCCACGCCCUAAACGAUGAUUACUCGACAUACGCGAUACACUGUGUGUGUCUGAGCGAAAGCAUUAAGUAAUCCACCUGGGAAGUACGACCGCAAGGUUG